AGGGCGAGGGUACCGUGCUGGCCACCUUGCGCCUGAAGAUUCUCUGACGGGAACCCAGGGAGCUGACGGGGCCCCUCCCUGUCGGGGCGGCUGUGGGCCUGGGAAGGAGCCUGAACCCGAGGCGCUAGGGCAGGGCCUGGAGGCGCCUGAGAAACAAGUCCCGGCUCUGGGGUGACUGGUCCACGGUCCUGGGUGUGGCCAAGGGCAGGAAAGGAAACCCUGGGGGGAAUGAUCUCAUCUUUUGUCUGUGGCCUUGAACGACCCACCUUCUGAACUGGGGCCUGUGGGCACCAGGAGUCCCAGCCCCUCCCCAGGGCGCCUACUGGGGGCCCCUGCUCUAGCAGCCCUGCAGCAGGACGUCCAGCAGACGCGCUGUGGGCCCCCACGCACCCGGAACCGGGACCAACAGCUGGGACGACGGUGGGAGGCCCCUGGCUCUGCCCGUAACCGGCCUGGGGCCUGAAGUCCCAGCUGGAGGACUUCUCGCCUGGGGCUGAUUUUCCGGGUCUUCGCUCCCUGUCUGUGAACGGGGUGCCUUCAGGCUCGCCCCCUCACGGGGUCACUGACGUGGGCUACACAAGGAAGUGCACUGCCCGUGGCGGCUGCUGUCAGCAGCUCCAGAGUCAGGAGAGUCACCACCAACACUACACAGGCUACCAGGACACAGUUGAGACGGGCACUGAGCAAAAAUACCUGCCACACGGCCGCCCUCUUCCCGCAGCACGGCCUCAGCCAGAAACACAAUCUGUCAGGAGGCUGCGGAGCAGAAUGACGAAGAGGGGUCUUCGGGCAUCUGAUCCACUCCCGUCAGAAACCCAGGAUGCGGGGCAAAGGGGGUGCCUGUGAGGGCCUGGAACGCGGAGGUCAGAGGCCGGAAGGAGGCAGGGAGCCCUGCCUGCAGCUCCUCAGCCCGUCACGGAGGCUCAAUGAGGGCGUCGCUGGUCUAAGCACCGCGCAGCCAGCACGAGCUGAGGACGACAACAGUGAUGUUGAUAGAAGGUCUCGGCCACACACUGGGCCACCCCCUCCUUCCUGUCCAAAGGGAGCAGACAGCCCGUGCCCAGCCCCCGAGGCCCCGAGGGCAUCCCCGGACGGGGCUCCUGGAGGAGGUUUCCUCCUCAGUCGGCCCAGCGGAGCCUGCGGAGCCCCCAGCAGUGGCACAAAGCUCACGGCUCAAGAAGCCCGGCGGGAAAUGGGCUCAGCCACAUCUUUCUGGAUCUUUCUACAUCUCUGGGAAUGAAAGGCACAGUCCCGGGCUCUGGGGAACGCAGACUGGGGUUCAGUCCCCAGCGCGGGACGCUGGCCCCAGGAAGGCAGCACUAACCUGGGAACAGAGGGGGAGAGGCCACCAGGGGACGGGUCAGGCGUGUCUGUCCAGGGGCAGGAAGGACGAGGCAUGAAGCCUCCGCCUCCAGCUCAGAGGGGCAGAGGCGCAGGGAAGCCAGGCGCGCCCGCCCACGGGUGCCGUCAGCUGAGUUGCUUUUGUGCACGGAAGACCCUGAACUGUGAGAAGUUGGCUGUCACUGCUCAGCUGACCUGCUCUGCUGACCCAUCCGUGUCUCACCUACCCCCCUUCCUCAUCCCACAAAGUGACAUUCCUGCCCCUUCCUGGGCCUAUGUUAAUCCUUCACACCUCUCUCACCCAGGCCCCGGCUCAGCACUUCCCUGGCUUCCUGUCAACUCCUCCCCCGGCCACAGGCACUGCAGGUCUCCAAGGCGACCCAGCUCCAACUCCACACCCUCUCACCCCAGGCUGAUGGUCCGUGGCCCCUAAAACUGAUGCAGAUUCGCUGCCACCUGAAGGGUGAGCCCAGCACCGCUGCAGGGACCAGUAAAAGGGCCCUGUGAGGUCGCGUUCCAGGGCGGCAGCGCAUGGAGCAGCCAGGCUGAGUUGGGUGCUGAGGCCUCCCUGGCCGCAGCGGCUUGGAGCGCAGGACCGACCGCGGGCACUGAGGCUCCAGCAGAGCCGAGCGGAAGGAGCAGACGUCUGCUGGCCGGGUGUUUGCAAACUGCAAACUGCUAACGAAGUGUCCUCUGAGACGCAGAAGAGUCCGACACUCCGAGGAGACGGGGUUUUAGCAGAAAAACAGGAUGUGUCUCGUUCCCCAACAUCCAAGUGGUUAAACAGCGACCCAAGGAGCUUAGUGGCCCAAAGGGAAGGCGGCACUGACUGCAGUUUGUUCUUAAUCCUCACGCGAGGAUUUGUUCUUAUUUUUGCUUUUUCCUUUUUAGAGGGAGAGGAAGGGAGGAAGAGAAACAUCAGUGUACAUUGGUGUGCGGGACGAUGCUCCAACCAAAUGCACACCAUCACACACUGCCCAACGCUCCAGCCACGGGCAGGCUGACUUCCCUUUUGCUGCUGUUGUUGUUGAUUUCCGAGAGGAAGGGAGAGGGAGAGGGAAACAUCCACGAUGAGAGAACGACGGGUCGCGGCCUCCCGCACGCCCCACACGGACGGACGGACGGACGGAGCCCACAGCCUGGGCCUGUGCCGGCUUCAUUCCUGAAGACAUGCUCUUCCACCGCGUCAGCACCAGCCCAGCCAACCCCGAGCUCGGUGCUCAGGUGGCGCGGCCCUGAGCGGCCACCAGAGGGCAGCGUGUCCCCGUCUCUAUCUCCUGUAGCAGGAGGGCAGCGCCAGGAGGGCAGCGCCAGGAGGCCACUGGGACUGCCAAGGCCGAAACACCAGGAGCAGAUGGCAUGUCCGGCAGGUGGGCCGUGGUCCAUGUGCGGUUCCCCCGGUCGCUCCUGCGGCCGCAGAGAGAUCCUGGGGGGAGGGGCCGCGGGCCGUGACCGCCUCAGCUUUAAAUACUUAGGAGUCUUGGUAAACGCUUGAAAGAAUGGCUCUAGAAUAUUACAGUGAACGCUGGCAAACGUCUGAUGGCUCCUUCGUGUGAGGCAAGGCCACGGGAGUGGCUCUGAAGGGGUGGCUCCAGGUCACUGCUCUGUCAGGCAGCGUCCCACACCCGGUGCUGAACGAGCCCUUUCUGAGGGGGCAGGGCUGGUGCCUGGACGGCAGGGCUGCGGGAUCCGGCUCUUACACGGCAGGGCUGCGGGAUCCGGCUCUUACACGGCAGGGCUGCGGGAUCCGGCUCUCACACGGCAGGGCUGCGGGAUCCGGCUCUUACACGGCAGGGCUGCGGGAUCCGGCUCUUACACUG